CCUACGGGUGGCAGCAGUGGGGAAUAUUGGGCAAUGGGUGCAAGCCUGACCCAGCACCGCCGCGUGAAGGAAGAAGGCUUUCGGGUUGUAAACUUCUUUUCUCAGGGACGAAGCAAGUGACGGUACCUGAGGAAUCAGCCACGGCUAACUACGUGCCAGCCGCCGCGGUAAUACGUAGGUGGCAAGCGUUAUCCGGAUUUACUGGGUGUAAAGGGCGUGUAGGCGGGGACGCAAGUCAGAUGUGAAAACCACGGGCUCAACCUGUGGCCUGCAUUUGAUACUGUACGGCUGGAGUGCAGGAGAGGUAAGUGGAAUUCCAAGUGUAGCGGUGAAAUGCGUAGAGAUUAGGAGGAACACCAGUGGCGAAGGCGGCUUACUGGACGGUAACUGACGUUGAGGUGCGAAAGCGUGGGGAGCAAACAGGAUUAGAUACCCCAGUAGUC
rnacentral:rRNA from 1 species